GAUGAACGCUGGCGGCGUGCCUAAUACAUGCAAGUCGAGCGAACAGAUGAGGAGCUUGCUCCUCUGACGUUAGCGGCGGGCGGGUGAGUAACACGUGGAUAACCUACCUAUAAGACUGGGAUAACUUCGGGAAACCGGAGCUAAUACCGGAUAAUAUAUUGAACCGCAUGGUUCAAUAGUGAAAGACGGUUUUGCUGUCACUUAUAGAUGGAUCCGCGCCGCAUUAGCUAGUUGGUAAGGUAACGGCUUACCAAGGCAACGAUGCGUAGCCGACCUGAGAGGGUGAUCGGCCACACUGGAACUGAGACACGGUCCAGACUCCUACGGGAGGCAGCAGUAGGGAAUCUUCCGCAAUGGGCGAAAGCCUGACGGAGCAACGCCGCGUGAGUGAUGAAGGUCUUCGGAUCGUAAAACUCUGUUAUUAGGGAAGAACAAAUGUGUAACUAACUAUGCACGUCUUGACGGUACCUAAUCAGAAAGCCACGGCUAACUACGUG
rnacentral:rRNA from 1 species